UAUCAAUAAGCGGAGGAAAAGAAACCAACAGGGAUUGCCUUAGUAGCGGCGAGUGAAGCGGCAAAAGCUCAAAUUUGAAAUCUGGCACUUUCAGUGUCCGAGUUGUAAUUUGAAGAAGGUAUCUUUGGGUCUGGCUCUUGUCUAUGUUUCUUGGAACAGAACGUCACAGAGGGUGAGAAUCCCGUGCGAUGAGAUGUCCCAGACCUAUGUAAAGUUCCUUCGAAGAGUCGAGUUGUUUGGGAAUGCAGCUCUAAGUGGGUGGUAAAUUCCAUCUAAAGCUAAAUAUUGGCGAGAGACCGAUAGCGAACAAGUACAGUGAUGGAAAGAUGAAAAGAACUUUGAAAAGAGAGUGAAAAAGUACGUGAAAUUGUUGAAAGGGAAGGGCUUGAGAUCAGACUUGGUAUUUUGUAUGUUACUCUCUCGGGGGUGGCCUCUACAGUUUACCGGGCCAGCAUCAGUUUGAGCGGUAGGAUAAGUGCAAAGAAAUGUGGCACUGCUUCGGUAGUGUGUUAUAGUCUUUGUCGAUACUGCCAGCUUAGACUGAGGACUGCGGCUUCGGCCUAGGAUGUUGGCAUAAUGAUCUUAAGUCGCCCGUCUUGAAA
rnacentral:rRNA from 1 species